rnacentral:tRNA from 1 species
CCGAGGGUGCCAUAAGAUCUGCUAACUCUUUAAUCUGGGACUAAUAUCCAGCCCCCUC